AUGGACGCAAGUCUGAUGGAGCAACGCCGCGUGAGUGAAGAAGGGUUUCGGCUCGUAAAGCUCUGUUGGUAGUGAAGAAAGAUAGAGGUAGUAACUGGCCUUUAUUUGACGGUAAUUACUUAGAAAGUCACGGCUAACUACGUGCCAGCAGCCGCGGUAAUACGUAGGUGGCAAGCGUUGUCCGGAUUUAUUGGGCGUAAAGCGAGUGCAGGCGGUUCAAUAAGUCUGAUGUGAAAGCCUUCGGCUCAACCGGAGAAUUGCAUCAGAAACUGUUGAACUUGAGUGCAGAAGAGGAGAGUGGAACUCCAUGUGUAGCGGUGGAAUGCGUAGAUAUAUGGAAGAACACCAGUGGCGAAGGCGGCUCUCUGGUCUGCAACUGACGCUGAGGCUCGAAAGCAUGGGUAGCGAACAGGAUUAGAUACCCUGGUAGUCCAUGCCGUAAACGAUGAGUGCUAAGUGUUGGGAGGUUUCCGCCUCUCAGUGCUGCAGCUAACGCAUUAAGCACUCCGCCUGGGGAGUACGACCGCAAGGUUGAAACUCAAAGGAAUUGACGGGGGCCCGCACAAGCGGUGGAGCAUGUGGUUUAAUUCGAAGCAACGCGAAGAACCUUACCA
rnacentral:rRNA from 1 species